CACGGCGACGUGGAAUCUGAAGGAAGCCGGAAGCAAAGGCCCGGCCCGAGGAACACGAACCACAUAUGAAGACUGACUUGGAGUGGACGAGUUUCCACAACAAAACGAAGUCCAACACUGCCCGAACCCCAUACAGUAGAUGCGGCAGGUAUAUGGGAUGAAGGCUG
rnacentral:ncRNA from 1 species